rnacentral:misc_RNA from 1 species
UCUCCGUUGGUGAACCAGCGGAGGGAUCAUUACCGAGUUUACAAACUCCCAACCCUUUGUGAACCUUACCAUAACGUUGCUUCGGCGGGACCGCCCCGGCGCCCUCGCGGCCCGGACCCAGGCGCCCGCCGGAGACCCCAAACUCUAUGUUUUACUGUACAUCUCCUCUGAGUGACACAUAAACAAUAAAUAAAAACUUUUAACAACGGAUCUCUUGGUUCUGGCAUCGAUGAAGAACGCAGC